rnacentral:rRNA from 1 species
GACGGGGGAUGCAAGCGUUAUCCGGAAUCACUGGGCGUAAAGCGUCUGUAGGUGGUGAUGCAAGUCACUGGAGCAAAACUCUGGCUCAACCGGAGGAAAGCCAGUGAAACUGCAUGACUAGAGUGUGGGAGUGGUAGAAGGAAUUGCCUGAGUAGCGGUGAAAUGCGUAGAUACAGGGAAGAACACCGGAGGCGAAAGCGUUCUACUGGAACACAACUGACACUGAGAGACGAAAGCUAGGGGAGCGAAGGGG